rnacentral:rRNA from 1 species
UCAGGGAAGAACAAGUAUCGGAGUAACUGCCGGUACCUUGACGGUACCUGACCAGAAAGCCACGGCUAACUACGUGCCAGCAGCCGCGGUAAUACGUAGGUGGCAAGCGUUGUCCGGAAUUAUUGGGCGUAAAGCGCGCGCAGGCGGUUCCUUAAGUCUGAUGUGAAAGCCCCCGGCUCGAACCGGGGGAGGGUCAUUGGAAGCUGGGGAACUUGAGUGCAGAAGAGGAGAGCGGAAUUCCACGUGUAGCGGUGAAAAUGCGUAGAGAUGUGGAGGAACACCAGUGGCGAAGGCGGCUCUCUGGUCUGUAACUGACGCUGAGGCGCGAAAGCGUGGGGAGCGAACAGGAUUAGAUACCCUGGUAGUCCACGCCGUAAACGAUGAGUGCUAAGUGUUAGAGGGUUUCCGCCCUUUAGUGCUGCAGCAAACGCAUUAAGCACUCCGCCUGGGGAGUACGGCCGCAAGGCUG